rnacentral:snRNA from 1 species
ACGCUUACUAGGCAGGGGAGAUUUCAUGACCUCGAAGAUCGUCUUCCCAAUGUGAGGCUUAUGCGUUGCAUUCAGGUUAUGCUGACCCUUGCGAUUUCCCUGGAUACAGGAAACUGGGCUGUAUAAUUUAUGCCACUGGGGUACUGUUUUCGUGCUCAGGUCAU